CGCCAGCCGGCGAGCCCGCGCUCCCUUCCGCGGAGAGGGGACCUGGGCGUUCUCUAAGCCCAGAGAGCGUUGGACAGCCUGUGCGCGGGGGUUGGAGGAGUUUGGCGGAGAGAUUGUUCCUCAGGUCGGGCAGCCUAGCGGAGUGAGUGUAAAACCAUUUCCCCCUUCUAGCGGGGGCCGUCAGCCUGCGCCCUGCCAGCUCCGGGGAUAGAAAGCGGGUGUUCGCGGUUAGAGGAAACUUUCCAGCCGAGCGCCUGGCUAAAGCGAACCGCGCAUCUGUCAGGAAUGCUCUCUGGGCGACGUUCUCGCCAGGAGCUUGCGUGCCAGUGCGGUAGAUGCGGCAAGGAAGGCAAAGGCUAGCGCAUCUGACAGCUAACGCUGAGGACCGGUAGGAAAAACACACACUCCCCAGGCCCAGCUGGCGAAUCUGAGUAUGAUGCAACCGUGUGUGCCUGCACGACAAAGACAGUGGCUUAAGGAAGCGCAAACGUUUAAGCGUAGAGUAAAUGACACCACCACCAAGAGAGAGCACACUUAAUUACACUGUGGACUUUUCACAGCCAGUAAGGACACCUGUAUUUUGUGCUUUAUGAUUCACCUGAUCUGAUCGUUUGAGUUGGGCCAAUACAAACAAAAAGGCUCUGUUGGUUUUUGGUUGAGAUGGGGACAUAAAGCAGAAAAUACCUUCAUGCUAAACAAAAUCAAGGGUGGCAAAGGAGCUGGCUUCCACUCAGCAGAAGUUGACCAAUUGAAUGAAAGUUCUUUAUAGAAGUGAGAGGAUGUAGUAAAGAAUCUAAUUUGAACUUUCUUUGGAAACUUCAUAAUGAUUCCAUGCAAGUAGGCGGCAUCCAUCAGAAAGCACCAAACCAAACGACCACAAUGAAAGACUUGAAAUGGAAUCAGAGGACACAUGCGUUCUUUCCAACACAGGGCAAUAGAAACAUGGGUGGACGUCCCAUUCUCUUUGUUUAGUUCUUUUUCUUGUUUCUUUGUAUUUUUAUUGAAAACGUUGUCUGUGGCCAUGUAAAACCUCUGGCAGGCAACACUUCUGACUGACCAAGAAUCUUUAAAUUGUUGCCAGUUGAAGUAUCAUUAUUGUCAGAGCAUUAAAAACCCGCUUGCCCUGGGAUCUGGAAUAGCGAGCCUGGAGGAAAGAAAGAGGCAAGAAAGACACACGUGGGCCUUGAACGCCUGAGAAGAUGCUCGGCCUCACUCUCCAUAAGAGGAUUGCAGGUGAAAACCACCCUGAGACCCAUUUCUUGCCUCUGCGAUUGGCAAACAUGUUGACCACACGAUCUGCUGGCAAGACUGUGGGGAAAUGAGCCCCUUCCUGCAGGCUGAUGAGAGUGCAAAAUGGUUCCACUCUGCGUGGACAAAUCUGGCAACAUCCACCCGCAAGGCACACAUCGUCGCUCUUUGACAAGAUGGUCACUCUCCUCUCCUUGGAACAUGUUUCUCAUUUGGGUUCUAGGACAGCAAUGUUCCUGUAUUUCCUCCUACAGCGUAGUUCCCGCCCUUUGAGCCUCCUUUGCUGGCUCACCCUGCUCUGCCUACCCGGGGUGCUCUGGGCUCAUUCGGGACUCUCUCCAUCAACCUCCUCUCCUUAGAUCAUAU